GUUUCACUAAGGGCCCAUAAAUUCAAGGUAUGUUAGCUAUCUGUCGCUCUAUGGACCCCUUAACCGAGUUAAAUCGAGUUAAGCGCGCGUCUUUAUUUAAAGAGUUUAAGACAUUGCGCAUGCUGUUGGGCUCUGAAAGCAACGAACGUGACCGCAACGUCUUGUUGCCUUAAUAAAGCAAGUUGUGUUAAUAGCAAUAUUAACCGAUUGCUUACAGAGGCUAUUUAAAACUAGACGGACCGCUGUUUCUUUUCUUAAACCAGAGGAAGGUUGCGGCAAUAACAGGUCUGUGAUGCCCUUAGAUGUUCCGGGCUGCACACAUGCUACAAUGAUCAGUACAGUGAGCAUCUCAAUAUAAUACACCGUCUUUAGCGCUUAGACGCGAUUAUCGGCUUACUUUUUAUUAAGGAGGUCUGUUUAAUCGAUGUUUUCUAAUGUGCGCGGUAAAGCCUGCUUCGAGAGUAAGCGGGUAAUCCAUUGGAAGUAAUGAUUUCUCUAUAUCUAGUGCACAACUAUGCACGGCACUCAUUCCCGAGACGGCUAGUUUCGUCUUUUAGUGUGAAUGUGGUGUUAUUCAAACGUGCGUGCAAUUGUCAAUUCAUGGUGGGGACAGACCAUUGUUAACUGUUGGUCUCGGUCUUAACUAGGAAUGCCUUGUACGGGUCUUUGGUUCAACAAACCACCCGGAAUACGUCCCUGCCCUUUGUACACACCGCCCGUCGCUCUUACCGAUGGACUUUUUUGUGAGUCUAAGGGACUGGGUUAAACCACUCGUUUAUUCGGAUGGCAGUACCUAUGGAAACUUAUGCGAACAAAGUGGUCUAAAGGAAAGAGAAGUCGUAACAAGGC
rnacentral:rRNA from 1 species